CCUACGGGAGGCAGCAGUGGGGAAUAUUGCACAAUGGGCGAAAGCCUGAUGCAGCCACGCCGCGUGAGCGAUGAAGGCCUUCGGGUCGUAAAGCUCUGUCCUCAAGGAAGAUAAUGACGGUACUUGAGGAGGACGCCCCGGCUAACUACGUGCCAGCAGCCGCGGUAAUACGUAGGGGGCUAGCGUUAUCCGGAAUUACUGGGCGAAAAGGGUGCGUAGGUGGUUUCUUAAGUCAGAGGUGAAAGGCUAGGGCUCAACCGUAGUAAGCCUUUGAAACUGGGGAACUUGAGUGCAGGAGAGGAGAGUGGAAUUCCUAGUGUAGCGGUGAAAUGCGUAGAUAUUAGGAGGAACACCAGUUGCGAAGGCGGCUCUCUGGACUGUAACUGACACUGAGGCACGAAAGCGUGGGGAGCAAACAGGAUUAGAUACCCGAGUAGUC
rnacentral:rRNA from 1 species